rnacentral:rRNA from 1 species
UACGUAGGUGGCAAGCGUUGUCCGGAUUUAUUGGGCGUAAAGAGCGUGUAGGCGGCUAGGUAGGUCCGUUGUGAAAACUGGAGGCUCAACCUUCAGACGUCGAUGGAAACCAUCUGGCUAGAGUCCGGAAGAGGAGAGCGGAAUUCCUGGUGUAGCGGUGAAAUGCGCAGAUAUCAGGAAGAACACCCGUGGCGAAGGCGGCUCUCUGGGACGGUACUGACGCUGAGACGCGAAAGCGUGGGGAGCGAACAGG